UCUCUCACUGUCUCUGGUUCUCGGCUUCUGGUCAACAGCCUUAAACAAUAAUCUCAAUGCUGCAUCUCGAGAAAUGUUAAUUCCAAAGGCAGCUUGAACUUAGCCAACCCCAAGAGGACAAGGGAUGCUGAACAGGAAGCUUCAUCAUCUAAUAUAUUUAUGCUCACUGAGAAACGACACCAUUCACAGUUCAUGUCACGAUAAGCGGCUGAGUGGUCGUGCGCUUCCCUUGGUGUUUUGAUCGCUCUCAGAACCAUGCCAGCCUUAAACAAUAAUCUCAAUGCUGCAUCUCGAGAAAUGUUAAUUCCAAAGGCAGCUUGAACUUAGCUAACCCCAAGAGGACAAGGGAUGCUGAACAGGAAGCUUCAUCAUCUAAUAUAUUUAUGCUCACCGAGAAACGACACCAUUCACAGUUCAUGUCACGAUAAGCGGCUGAGUGGUCGUGCGCUUCCCUUGGUGUUUUGAUCGCUCUCAGAACCAUGCCAGACAUGCAGUUCUAGAUUUGAAGCUUUCGUGACUGCAAGGAUCCAUACUCUUUGGUUCUAUUAUUUUAUUUUUUACCUACGUGACUUUACCGAAUAGAACCAAAGAGACAUGCAGUCUUCACCAAAUGGCCAACAUCAACGCUGCAGCUGCAUGGCUACCAUUGUGUCCCUGUUAUUUGUGAUGAACACCAUCCUUGCCAUUGCCUUGGUGACCAGCAGCCUAUUCGUUGUCCACACAAUUAAAUCAGUCGCCACCAACUUUAAAGAAGAACAGCUUUUGAUCGUGGAUCAUCAGGAUGUUCAAAAGGUCACAGUGGACAGCCUUGAGCAGCAGAUCAAUGCCAAGAUGUCUGGCCUGAAGGAGCAGGUGGAUCAGCUGAAAGACAAAGUGCGCAUACUGAAUCAAAACGAGGCGUUUGACCUGGAUGUGGAGU